UUAAGGCGAAGUGUACGUAAUUAAACUACACAAUGGAUUUUUUUGAAAUUUUACAUGUAGAUUCUACUUGUAAAAUUAAAUCGGAAGAUAAAAUAAAAAAAGGGGGUAACCGUUUUCGUUUUUGAGAUACGAGCUGUUGAAGUUAACAGCAUCAUACACCAAAAUUACAAAGGAUAUAUAGGGAAAAUCGUGAAAUUCGGCAGGAAUUGUU
rnacentral:lncRNA from 1 species